rnacentral:lncRNA from 1 species
AAUUUCUUUGAAAUUCAUAAACAAUCUGAGCAGCUAAGCUAAAGUGGAUAUUGUUUGACUCUGAAUAGUUAAGACCCAUGUCCAAAAUAUUAGUGGACGCGAGUCAUCUUCUAGUUUGUAUAUGCAUGUAAGUAUGUAACAUAUCAUUGCAAGCUAGUUGUACUAGCAGUGAUCACUUCCUUGACAAUCUUUCCAUGCAUAUCCUUGUGAAAUAAUUGUUGGGGGCGUCCCUUGUUCAUAUUAUGUUCCUUAUAGAAAAUGCAAUGGACGUUGAGAGAUGGUCCCAUGUUGAAGCCCCCCCGCCCCACCUUCACCUCCCCCUUUUGUCGCCUCUUGUUUUUUUGCUCUUCUCUCUUCCCUUUCAUCUACUCUCAAUCCUUAAAUUCCAUUUAUUGACGCCACCAUUUUGGACCAUGAUUGACUUGAGCGAGCUUAGAGAUCUCGUGAAGAGUGCUUUGUGGCAUGUUGAUGGAAAGGGCCAACUUUAAUCCAAAAAUCUGUUUGGAAAAUAUGAUGUGGGAUGCAAAUGAUAAAAUUGAUGAGUUUCUUAUACUGUUUGGAUUGGAUGUCCAAGAUUCACAUCAAACUAUCCUUACAAGUUCAAGGAUUAAAAAAAAACUUCAUUCAAAUUCCAAAGAUUAUAUGUGCGAGGAGAGAGGUGACGAGUGGGAGGGAGAGGAGGGAGGGGACGGGUGGGAGAGGGAGAUGACGGUACCGGAGUCGUUGCCGCCGGCUGCGCAGUCGCCAGGGAGGAACUCGCGAGGGGACGGGUCGGAGGGAGGGGACGGGGUCUAAGGGAGAGGAGGGAGAGGAGGGAUGUGAUGAGUGGGAGGGAGAGGAGGGAGGGGAUGGGUGAGAGAGGGAGAGGACGGUACUGAAUCGCCGCCGCCGGCUGCACAGUCGCCAGUGGAGGAACUCGCGAGGGGACGGCUCGAACCGAC